GCUCGAGUGGCGAACGGGUGAGUAACACGUGAGUAACCUGCCCUAGACUUUGGGAUAACUUCAGGAAACUGGGGCUAAUACCGGAUAGGAGCUCCUGCUGCAUGGUGGGGGUUGGAAAGUUUCGGCGGUUGGGGAUGGACUCGCGGCUUAUCAGCUUGUUGGUGGGGUAGUGGCUUACCAAGGCUUUGACGGGUAGCCGGCCUGAGAGGGUGACCGGCCACAUUGGGACUGAGAUACGGCCCAG
rnacentral:rRNA from 1 species